GACGAACCGCGCGAACGUUAUUCGGAAUCACUGGGCUUAAAGCGCGUGUAGGCGGAUCGGCACGUCGGCCUCUGAAAGCCCCCGGCUCAACCGGGGAAGCGGAGCCGAAACGACCGGUCUCGAGGGAUGGAGGGGGACCUGGAACUUCCGGUGGAGCGGUGAAAUGCGUUGAGAUCGGAAGGAACGCCGGCGGCGAAAGCGAGGUCCUGGACGUCCACUGACGCUGAGACGCGAAAGCUGGGGGAGCGAACGGG
rnacentral:rRNA from 1 species